rnacentral:rRNA from 1 species
AACGAACGCUGGCGGCAGGCUUAACACAUGCAAGUCGAACGGUUGUAGCAAUACAGCAGUGGCAGACGGGUGAGUAACACGUGGGAACCUUCCUAGGGGUACGGAACAACUCAGGGAAACUUGAGCUAAUACCGUAUACGUCCGUGAGGAGAAAGAUUUAUCGCCCUUAGACGGGCCCGCGUCGGAUUAGCUAGUUGGUGGGGUAACGGCCUACCAAGGCGACGAUCCGUAGCUGAUCUUAGAGGAUGAUCAGCCACACUGGGGCUGAGACACGGCCCAGACUCCUACGGGAGGCAGCAGUGGGGAAUCUUGGACAAUGGGCGCAAGCCUGAUCCAGCCAUGCCGCGUGAGUGAAGAAGGUCUUCGGAUUGUAAAGCUCUUUUACCAGGAACGAUAAUGACGGUACCUGGAGAAUAAGCCCCGGCAAACUUCGUGCCAGCCGCCGCGGUAACAC